ACUAUAGCAAAGCUUGUGAUGUAGGCAGCAUCACAGUACCAGCCCCUGCAGUUUGAAGAGAUGUCCAGUGGAGGGAAGUAUGUGGAACGGAAUGAAGACUGAAUUAUUUUCACAUUGGGAUCCGUAUACUGUGGAAGUGUGAUGGCCACCACUUGGAAAGGAGGACAGUAUGCAUGUAUUCAUAUAUGCACAGAAAGGAUACACAUGAGCUUGCUACACAGAAAGCUGCUGCCUGAUGUAAACUGAAGGAGACCAAUAUUUCUUGUGGGUUCCAGGGCUAACUUCUCAAGUCCUGGAGGCUGCUUGUGAUACAGAGGGUUUCCUGGCCCUCUCUGCCUGCUACUCAUGCUUCAUCCAUUCAUCUUAGAAGACCUGGACAAGACUCUAUACAUUAAAUAGAAGAGCUCUAAAGGCAACAAAGUCCUGCAAAGCUGUCUGCUG